CCUCAUGAUUGGCCUUAGAAAAGAGGCUCCAGAGAGAUCACUAGGCCCUUCACCACGUGAGGACACUGCAAGAAGGUCCCAUCUAUGAACCAGGAAAAAGACUCUCACCAGAACGCCACCAUGCUGGUGACUUGAUCUUGGACUUCCAGACUCCAGAACGAUGCCAGAAAACCUGAGUAGUAAAUUCGCCCUGCCCACCUCCCGGAAUGGCUGCCAGGAUCAAACGGGAUAUUGCCUAAGAAAGCACUCUGUAAACGGCUCUGUCAGAAGCUUUGAUGAGGACAACUGAAGCAGUGCAACUGGAGUGUGGUCUCCCGACAUCCAGCCCACUGUUCUGCCUCACUCCCUCUCUUCAGAACUUCCACCGAGGACCUUGUCAGAGUAAAGGCUCACAUGCUGUGGGACUCCCACUGGGAUUUUCAACAGGUUGCUUAGGGAGCUCUGAGUUGAAGCUUUGCCAUGCCUACCACUCCUUUUUAGGAAGCCUCCACCCUGGAAGGUAGGUGGCUGUCCUUGCAUUGAACAAAUAUUUAUAGAAAAUCAGGUGCCCUUGUAGGUGCUGAGGAUAUACAGCAAG
rnacentral:lncRNA from 1 species